UGGGGAAUAUUGGACAAUGGGCGCAAGCCUGAUCCAGCCAUGCCGCGUGAGUGAUGAAGGCCCUAGGGUUGUAAAGCUCUUUCACCGGUGAAGAUAAUGACGGUAACCGGAGAAGAAGCCCCGGCUAACUUCGUGCCAGCAGCCGCGGUAAUACGAAGGGGGCUAGCGUUGUUCGGAAUUACUGGGCGUAAAGCGCACGUAGGCGGAUUGUUAAGUGAGGGGUGAAAUCCCAGGGCUCAACCCUGGAACUGCCUCUCAUACUGGCAAUCUAGAGUUCGAGAGAGGUGAGUGGAAUUCCGAGUGUAGAGGUGAAAUUCGUAGAUAUUCGGAGGAACACCAGUGGCGAAGGCGGCUCACUGGCUCGAUACUGACGCUGAGGUGCGAAAGCGUGGGGAGCAAACAGGAUUAGAUACCCCCGUAGUCC
rnacentral:rRNA from 1 species